AGUUUAUAGUUAUGUUCAGGUAUGUUUGGUCCCUCAUUUGAGUCCACCUGUGUAGGUUCGGACCCGAGGAACCAAGGACCCCAGCAGUGAGUUCAGCUGCUUCGGUGUUGUCAGAGUCAGCCAGAGGUGAGUGGAACUAAACUUAAUCUUUUAAAUUAAAUGUUUUAUCAUGUUUCAUGCAUCAUGAUUAUGCAAUAGGAUGAUUGCAUUAGUUUCCACGAAUAUGCCGCAUUGCAUCGAUUGUUGUUGAUGUGGGUGAAUAUUGGAUGACCCAAUUAGUCCAUGACAGGAAGACCAGGACCCCAUGCUACGGCCUGGCACUAUGUAAGGAAAGACCAGGACCCCAUUCUACGGCCUGGCACGGUUAUGAGACUCGAAGACCAGGAGCCCAGAGGAGGCCCUGGGGAAAUGGUAAGUAAUGUAUGUUAUGACAGAAAGACCAGGACCCCAUGCUACGGCCUGGCACUAUGUUAACUUGGACUAAUUGGUGACAAGUUCACCCAACCCUUAUGUGAAUUGUCUGUGUUAUGAUGCAUUUCAUUGGAGCAUAGUGUUAAUAUGUUUUAUAGUCCUACUCACUGGGCUUUUAGCUCACCCCUCUCCCUUUACCCCCAGGCUUGCAGGUACGGUAUAGUGCGGGAGUCCGGAUAGAGUAAAGAAGUCAUGCUUAUGUAAUAGCUAGCAAUGGACAUGAUCAAAUUGUAAUGUAA
rnacentral:lncRNA from 1 species